UACGUAGGGUGCAAGCGUUGUCCGGAAUUAUUGGGCGUAAAGAGCUCGUAGGCGGCCUGUCGCGUCGGCUGUGAAAACCCGGGGCUCAACCCCGGGCCUGCAGUCGAUACGGGCAGGCUAGAGUCCGGCAGGGGAGACUGGAAUUCCUGGUGUAGCGGUGAAAUGCGCAGAUAUCAGGAGGAACACCGGUGGCGAAGGCGGGUCUCUGGGCCGGAACUGACGCUAAGGAGCGAAAGCGUGGGGAGCGAACAGG
rnacentral:rRNA from 1 species